UUUCUUUUUGAGAAAAAAUUCUUGCUUAAUUAUCAUCACUUCAGCAGUCAUCAUCACUCAGCGAGCAGCAGAAAGGAAAAAUGGCGAUUUUGCCAACGCCAUUGCACAUUACAAGAAGUGAUUUUGUCCAUCCCAAUCCCUAUCUCGUCAGCGUGCCGUCGAAGCCCACACGCAGCUGCGCUCGCCGUCCGUUUGUUGUCACCUUUUCUUACAAACCCAGGAACGAAAUUACUGGUAAUGACAAGAAAAGGGAGUUCCUUGAGCAGUACGGUCUUAAUCCCGAUGAGUUCUUACCUAAACCAUCUCGGAAGGUAAAGAGGAGAGGAGAGCAACGAAAUCCAGAAGCGAGAAACAAUACACCACUGCAGGAGCCAAAGCCGCCGCGAGAGACACACAAACUGCUUCAGGUACUUGGAGGUACGGCUCGGAGGAAAAAGUUACUCUCACCGAAGAGUAUGGACGUGCGGCCUAUGAUGGAAGUUGUAAAAGGAGCAGCUUUUUCAAUUUUACAGGCAGCGGGUGGCUCGCCUCAGUCUCUGAGGCCCGGGCGCUGGUUAGACUUGUACAGCGGCACAGGAUCCGUUGGUAUUGAAGCUAUCAGUAGAGGAUGUUCUGAGGCUCACUUUGUGGAGAUGGAUCCUUGGGUUAUCUCGGAUGUGCUAAAGCCUAACUUGGAGUCAACUGGAUUCCUUGAGGCUUCGGUUAUACAUACUGCCCGUGUUGAAACCUUCUUGGAAAAUGCACAAAGAUAUCUAGGGAAAGAGGCGGCGUUUGAUUAUAUAAGUGUUACUCCUCCAUACAUGCUUGUAGAUUACACAGUUCUGAUGGAUCAGGUUUCUAAUUCAUCGGUGGUUGGGGAGAAUACAUUUAUAGUAGUUGAGUACCCUUUGAGAACUGACAUGCUGGAUUCGUGUGCGUGCUUGGUAAAGAUAGCUGAUCGGCGGUUUGGCAGGACACAUUUAGCAAUAUACGGACCGCAGUGGGCCCAAAAGAAGAGUAAACUGGAGACAUGACUAUCAUUAUUGCACAAAUGAUUAGAAAUUCGUAUGUACUCUGAUGAUUGCGAUCACGUUGCAGCUGAUCAGUCGACUUGCAAUGCAAGUGCAGCUUAUGCUCCAGGAACUAAGAGAACAAAAGAAAGCACAAGUAUGAUGCUCGAAAACGUGGAAUUUGCAGGCACACUCUUGAAUCUAAGGUGCAUACUCUCGAACUCGUACUCAUGGUUUCAUGCUUGAUCCGAUUCUCUCUUUCGCCACUCAUCUUUGCAAGGGAUAUGAAACUGAAGCCUAUAUCUGUGCACUAUACUCGAGUUUGAAUAUUUGCUUGAUAUACAGCUAAGUUUUAUGUCCCUUGAUUGGAAUAUACGCACUCGAAACACUGUUUAAAUUGCCUCUUGUUCAUUUGAAAUUGGUGUUGGGCCUUUUGAAUAAGAAACAAGAUUGAAGUUGUAGAGAUCUUGCUUUUUAGGACCAUAGAGUGUAGGUAUCCCCUAUUUUUGGACAUGUACGUAGCAGGAUGUAAUAGAGAUGGAAACGCAGUUGUCUUUAGACGCUCCAUUCGCCUUUUUUAGAGUUAAUAGUGUUUUAUGUCCGAACUUUCAGUGCUUUUCAUAAAAUAUCUCCAACUUUCGUUUUCUCCUAAGAAAUCCCGAACUUUCAGUGUUUUUCAUAAAAUAUCCCGUUAUACAAAAUCAGGUGAUCGAAAGAUGACUCUUCUCAGACUGAUUGCAGUUAAGUUUAGAAUCUUACACCUUCAAAUUGAUAAUUCAAGACUUGAGAUGAGUCAUCUUUCAAUCAACAAGACUUUGUAUAGCAGAACAUUUUAUGAAAAAUGCUGAAAGGUCUACGUUUUUUAGGAGAAAACAAAAGUUCAGGGUAUUUUAUAGAGAACGUUGAAAAUUCAAGAUUUUUUAGGUGAAAAUGAAAGUUCGAAACAUUUUAAACUCUGAAAAUUUAGGAUAUACUCACUCCGUUCACAAAAUGUUGUUCUAAUUUACCAUUUUGGUCCGUCCACAAAUAGUUGUUCUAAUAUAUUUUUAGUAGGUUCCUUUCUCCACUCACUAAUAUGUGGGCCUCAUUCUCCACUCACUAAUUUAAUUAACUUUUUCUACUUUUCUUCAUUUGUGGACUCCUUUCUCCACUCAAUAAAAAAACAGCACGAUUUUUCCUAAAACCCCUGCCUCCCUCCCUUAGGACAACAUUUGGUUGACAGAGGGAGUAAAACACUAUUAACCAUUUUUUUAAUCCAUUUUUUGUAGGCAAAUGGAGUUCGACAUAGUAACACAAAAUAAUAUAGACAGAAAUAUAUUUGUGUUUGUGUAUAUAUAGUUUAUGCAUGAAUAAUUUGUGGCAUUUCUUUACCGGCGUAUGCAUGAAUAGUUUGUGGCAUUUCAAACUUCUAUUUUGGUUUAAAAGAAAUAUUUAUUGUAAGAGAUGCUUAUUUUAUUUUAUGAAAAUCUGGCUGGGAAUUUUUA